rnacentral:rRNA from 1 species
UACCUGCAGCUCGAGUGGUGAUCGUUAUUAUUGGGCCUAAAACGUCCGUAGCCGGUCUUAUAAAUGCCUGGGUAAAUCGUAUGGCUUAACCAUACGAAUUCCGGGUAGACUGUUUGACUUGAGACCGGGAGAAGCUAGAGGUACUCCUGGGGUAGAAGUGAAAUUCUGUAAUCCUAGGGGGACCACCAGUGGCGAAGGCGUCUAGCUAGAACGGGUCUGACGGUGAGGGACGAAGCCCUGGGGCGCAAACGGGAUUAGAUACCCCGGUAGUCCAGGGUGUAAACGCUGCUUGCUUGAUGUUAGUCUGGCUCCGAGCCAGAUUAGUGUCGGAGAGAAGUUGUUAAGCAAGCUGCCUGGGAAGUACGGCCGCAAGACUGGAACUUAAAGGAAUUGGCGGGGAGCACAGCAACGGGUGGAGCGUGCGGUUU